rnacentral:ncRNA from 1 species
CAUAGGUUUGGUCCCAGCCUUUCUAUUGGUUGCCAGCAAAACUACACAUGCAAGUAUCCGCCCUCCAGUGAGAAUGCCCUAUUAAUCAAUAUCAGGAUAAGUAGGAGCGGGUAUCAAGCACACCAUUAGGUAGCUCAUAACACCUUGCUCAACCACACCCCCACGGGCAACAGCAGUGAUAAAAAUUAAGCAAUAAACGAAAGUUUGACUAAGUUAUGCUUGCAAGGGUUGGUAAAUUUCGUGCCAGCCACCGCGGUCAUACGAUUAACCCUAAUCAAUAGAUAUACGGCGUAAAACGUGUUUAGGAAUAUCAACAUAAUAGAGCCAAACUCUAGCUAUGCUGUAAAAAGCCCUAGCUACUGUAAGCUCCACUACGAAAGUGGCUUUAAAUAGUCUGAAUACACGAUAACUAAGAUCCAAACUGGGAUUAGAUACCCCACUAUGCUUAGUCUUAAACCUAGAGGAUUAAAUAACAAAAUCCUUCGCCAGAGUACUACAAGCUAAAGCUUAAAACUCAAAGGACUUGGCGGUGCUUUAUAUCCUUCUAGAGGAGCCUGUUCUGUAAUCGAUAAACCCCGAUAAACCUCACCAGUCCUUGCCAAACUCAGCCUAUAUACCGCCAUCUUCAGCAAACCCUAAAAAGGACUCAUAGUAAGCCUAAAUAUGAUUCAUAAAAACGUUAGGUCAAGGUGUAGCCUAUGGACUGGAAAGAAAUGGGCUACAUUUCCUAUAACUUAGGAUAUACAUUAUACGAAAGCUCCUGUGAAAUCAAGAGUUAAAGGUGGAUUUAGCAGUAAACUAAGAAUAGAGUGCUUAGUUGAAUAAGGCCAUGAAGCACGCACACACCGCCCGUCACCCUCCUCAAAUAUUAACGGUACUACCCUAAACUUAUUACCACAAACCAAAACUACUAGAGGAGACAAGUCGUAACAAGGUAAGUGUACUGGAAAGUGCACUUGGAUAAUC